GACGAACGCUGGCGGCGUGCUUAACACAUGCCAGUCGAACGCUGAAGCUCAGCUUGCUGGGUGGAUGAGUGGCGAACGGGUGAGUAACACGUGAGUAACCUGCCCUCUUCUUUGGGAUAACGCCCGGAAACGGGUGCUAAUACUGGAUAUUCACUGAUUCUCGCAUGGGGGUUGGUGGAAAGGUUUUUUCUGGUGGGGGAUGGGCUCGCGGCCUAUCAGCUUGUUGGUGGGGUGAUGGCCUACCAAGGCUUUGACGGGUAGCCGGCCUGAGAGGGUGACCGGUCACAUUGGGACUGGGAUACGGCCCAGACUCCUACGGGAGGCAGCAGUGGGGAAUAUUGCACAAUGGGCGAAAGCCUGAUGCAGCGACGCCGCGUGAGGGAUGGAGGCCUUCGGGUUGUAAACCUCUUUCGCUCAUGGUCAAGCCGCAGCUUUGGGUUGUGGUGAGGGUAGUGGGUAAAGAAGCGCCGGCUAACUACGUG
rnacentral:rRNA from 1 species